AAAACCUGCUUGAGUUGGAAGGCAAAUACAUCCUUUGGUUUUCCUUACAUUUUUCAUUUAUCACCUCUGUUCUCCUAUGUGUCCCCUCCCUUUUUUGCAUCCCUUUUCACCUCACCAAGACUACCUGGUCCUCUUUUUGCCUGCAGGUUUCUCUACAGCCCUGGCAAAUGCAUGCACCACCCUCUGGUACAGAGCUGGCCCAGAGGUGACAGUGAGGGCCAUGCUGGGCUGGAUCCACGGAGCAGGACAGCCCUCACCUCACCCUGGAGAUCCUGCAGGAUGAGUAUUUGAAAAUACAAGGGGUAAAGCAAACAAAGAGGAUGCAGAUUUGGUACAAAAUCUCAGAGAAGAGGAUCUUUUGUGCCAUCCUGUUAGAGGGGAAACAAGAAAAGCUGCACAGAGACAAGAACUCAGGAGCAAACAAGAGUGUCUCUGCAGAAUGGAUCAGCUCUUGGAAAACCGAGGGGAAGUCACUAGAGGGCAUCAUCACCUACUCAAUCCUGCCUGCAGACCAGGUCAGACCUAUCAUACCCUAGAAGCGACGCUGCUCUCUGGACUGCCUCCUGCAGAGCUCUGAAAACUCAGAUUCCACUUGUUCCCAUGGCCUUAGCAGAGGAGGUCCUGCAGGGGCACGAUGAAAAUGGCCUACUUUGAGUUACAGCAGAGAAGAGAAUUCUUAAAAAUGGCACUACUGAACAGACCUGCCCAUCAACUUCCUUCACUUCUAUGUGGGAUUAUUUGUGAAAGUACUCACAUAUCAACUUUUCCAAACUGCCCUGACCAUUUGGAAAGACAAAGUGCUGAACAGAACAUGAGAAGAUGAGUAGCUUUGUUAGACCCAGGGCAGGAAUCAUCUCCCACAGAUUCACCAUGGAUGUGUCUACUGUGCAGCACUCCUAACACAACCCAGCUCCCAGACUUCCACGAGGGCUCUCAGAGUGAACACGAGAGUUGAAUGAUCUGGGUGUUGCAUGAACUGAAAACACAGGGGAGAAGGUCCAUCAGCCCCAUUCUUUAUUUAUCCUUUUCUCUCUUUUCCUGUGCUUCCUAAAAAAUCCUGUGGUGUAUCAUCUCCACAGCUUUGAAUUUUUAACCAUAAACACAACCCUUACUGUCCCAGGAUCCUUUAAAACAUCACUGCUUGGACUGCUUUCCUAGUGGCAAAGCAUGCACAUGCAACCCGGGAGUCAGGGAGAUUUUGAUCCCUUGAAUCUUAUUACAGACAGUGCUUCACACACACAAAU